GGCCUCCCUCUGUGGGGUGAUCGAUUGUGGAGCUCCCUCAUCGAUCGCCCCACAGAGGUUGUCC
rnacentral:pre_miRNA from 1 species